UUUCAGUGGAAGGCAUGCUGUCAGAACUAAACUAGUGGAGCUUGGAUAUGAAAUCAACGACAAGGAAUUUGAGGAUUUCUUUAAACGCUACAAAGAGGUUGCAGAGAAAAAAAAGCGUGUAACUGAUGAAGACAUCGAAGCUUUAUUAUCAGAUGAGAUAUUUCAGCCUAAGGUUAUUUGGUCCCUUGGUGAUGUACAGGCAACAUGUGGAACACUUGGUUUAUCUACAGCAACCGUCAAACUGAUAGGUCUAGACGGAGAG